rnacentral:rRNA from 1 species
GAUCCUGGCUCAGGAUGAACGCUGGCGGCGUGCCUAACACAUGCAAGUCGAACGGAAACAAAGCGCUUCGGAGACUUCGGUCAAUGUUUGCUUUGUUUUAGUGGCGGACGGGUGAGUAACGCGUGGAUAACCUGCCAUAUACAGGGGGAUAACAGUUAGAAAUGACUGCUAAUACCGCAUAAGCGCACGGGACCGCAUGAUCCUGUGUGAAAAACUCCGGUGGUAUAUGAUGGAUCCGCGUUUUAUUAGCUAGUUGGCGGGGUAACAGCCCACCAAGGCGACGAUCAGUAGCCGGCCUGAGAGGGUGAACGGCCACAUUGGGACUGAGACACGGCCCAAACUCCUACGGGAGGCAGCAGUGGGGGAUAUUGCACAAUGGGGGAAACCCUGAUGCAGCGACGCCGCGUGAGUGAAGAAGUAUUUCGGUAUGUAAAGCUCUAUCAGCAGGAAGAUAAUGACGUACCUGACUAAGAGCACCGGCUA